AGGAUCACGGAGGCGCUGUGGGUCUUUCUCAAACUGGCUUUCCCAUCAGUAGUCAGCAUCAGCAGCUCAGAGCACCUUGUGUGCUCAUCAAAUCAACCACAGUAAUGUGAACACAAGCUGCAGUGAAAAUGAGACUGACAGCUUCCACCUCCAGCAGUCAGCAGAGACAGAGCUCAGCAGCAUCUCAGUCCAGCAGCUUCCUCAGCAACAUGUCAGCAGCAAAUAGCAUCUCUGCCAUUCUCCCUUUGAUAUCUUCCUCCUCUUCGCUCCUGAGAGGUCUCAGCAGGGCUUCACACGAGCAUGCUGUGACAACACCAUCCUCCCACCCCCACAGCAACAUAUCUCAGCAGAGCGUCUCUCUGAUGGACACAGAUAUCUUACACUGAGCUCACUGAGCUUCACACAGGAGCCUGAAUUCAGAUUGAUCAUUACUCAGCAUAUGUUUUAGAUCAGCGUUACAGUCACCUGAUUCCUACCAGUGUGUAUAAAUAUUACAGUGCCUGAUGUGGAUCCUUGAUGUUAUAGUCUGGUUCAGGCAGUAUCAGAAAACAGGCAUCGCAGUCUCGUACAUGAACUAGAAUGCAUCACACGAUCAAACAACAGCUUCUCGUCCACAAAGAGUUCUGCUGUUAUUUAAUCACAUGUUGAUAUUUACAUGUAAAAACAUUCACUGUUUUCUUUACAUGCUCAGUGUUGAUGCAGUUUGAUUGGAGCUGGUUGGAUCAUCCCAGGUGACACACUGUGCUGCACUGACUGCUUGUUUUACUGUCCAGAAACUGAUGAUGCUGUGGGCAUUAAAAGGGUCAGCUGUGGACUUAAAUCCCAGUUCUGGAAAAGCUGGGAAGCUUUUUACAAUGUAAAUAAAAAUAGAAUACAA